rnacentral:rRNA from 1 species
AUAGGUGAGGAUCACCGGAAUGUUUCCUCACCCAAAGCUCAGGCGCUCGAGGACGGGACUGCGACCUAUCAGGCAGUUGGUGGUGUAACGGACCACCAAACCAACGACGGGUACGGGCGAUGGGAGUCGGAGCCCGGAGAUGGGGACUGAGACAAGGCCCCAGGCCCUACGGGGCGCAGCAGGCGCGAAAACUCCGCAAUGCGCGCAAGCGUGACGGGGGGAUCCCAAGUGCCGAUGGUCUUUGAUCGUCGGCUUUUCGGGAGUGUGAGGAGCUCCCGGAAUAAGGGCUGGGUAAGACUGGUGCCAGCCGCCGCGGUAAUACCAGCAGCCCGAGUGGUGGCCGGGUCUAUUGGGCCUAAAGCGCUCGUAGCCGGGUUGAUAAGUCCUUUGUGAAAUCGGACGGCCCAACCGUUCGGCCUGCAAGGGAUACUAUCAGCCUCGAGGCCGGGAAAGGUCGGGAGUACUUUGGGGGUAGUAGUGAAAUGCUGUAAUCCUCAAAGGACUACCAGUGGCGAAGGCGUCCGACUGGAACGGACCUGACGGUGAGGGGCGAAAGCUUGGGGAGCGA